AUACUAAAUAGAGUGUUUUAAUACAUACUUGACAGGAUUAAGUUUAUAUAUUUUGACACUAAAACCACAGGAAUUUUUUUAUAACCAUGGAAACAUUUUUUAAUGGCUCAUUUGAGAGAUUGGAAAGAAAACCUUACCAAUUCACCCUAAGUUCAUCAGUGGUUACAUUUCAGGUUAUGAGUCACUCUAAUCUCUUUAUGUACACCCCAAAAUUUUACAGUUAAUAUUACUUCUACUUACAGAUAAAUUAAGCUCAGACAUUUAAAAAUUGAACAAAAAUGCAAAAAGAAGAGUAAGGCAGAUGGAAACUAUACAGACUGUAAUGUUUGGUGAUUAGGAAAUCACUUAUGAGUUACUGAGAGAGAAUGUUGAGAAAGAUGCCAGAUCACAUGGUACUAUAAAAUAGAGAAAAAGAAGCAGAAACGCACAGAUCUUCCUGCAAAAUAUUUGGUGACUGAAGAAAGGUGAUAGAGGAAAGUAGCUUGAAAGUAAUCCAGAUCAGGGUAGGAAAUUUCAUUUAGAAUGAAGAGACAUGAAUUUACUAUUAUAGACAAAGGAAAAGGGUCAGUACAGAAGGAUAACUAGCCUGUGGAUGAAGAGAGGAUAGUUGCUCAAAGUCUAAGAGAAUGUAGACAAUGACAAAUCAUGGUUUCAGACGUGGAUUGUAAUGUUAACCAGAGAGAGAUGCUUCUUCAAAACAAAAGGAAAUAAAGAGUGUGCUUAUACAUAUAUGAAAAAAAAUGUGGACAUGAAGAAGGAAAAAAAAAUGAGCAGUGAUCUGAUCCAUCAGGACAUUCAAAUUUUCUGAGUCAGUGACUUCGAGUGGCAGAAAAUUUAAGAGAUGCAGUAUCUUCGGAGAGUAAUGACAUACAAUCCACACAUUCAUGGAAGAAUGGAGACCUGAAGUUUUUGAAAGGGAGUCAGCAGAGAGGAAAAUAGACAUGAACAGAUGAUCUACCUUAUUUUGGAAUUAAGAAACACUUGAAGAUUAUUCUCAGAAAUGCCAUAAGG
rnacentral:lncRNA from 1 species